AUUGAACGCUGGCGGCAUGCCUUACACAUGCAAGUCGAACGGUAACAGGUCUUCGGAUGCUGACGAGUGGCGAACGGGUGAGUAAUGCAUCGGAACGUGCCCAGUAGUGGGGGAUAGCCCGGCGAAAGCCGGAUUAAUACCGCAUACGACCUGAGGGUGAAAGGGGGGGAUCGCAAGACCUCUCGCUAUUGGAGCGGCCGAUGUCAGAUUAGCUAGUUGGUGGGGUAAAGGCCUACCAAGGCAACGAUCUGUAGUUGGUCUGAGAGGACGACCAGCCACACUGGGACUGAGACACGGCCCAGACUCCUACGGGAGGCAGCAGUGGGGAAUUUUGGACAAUGGGCGCAAGCCUGAUCCAGCAAUGCCGCGUGCAGGAAGAAGGCCUUCGGGUUGUAAACUGCUUUUGUCAGGGAAGAA
rnacentral:rRNA from 1 species